UACGGAGGGUGCAAGCGUUGUUCGGAAUUACUGGGCGUAAAGAGCGCGUAGGCGGUUUUAUAAGUCAGACGUGAAAGCCCUGGGCUUAACCCAGGAUGUGCGUUUGAUACUGUAAAGCUAGAGGACCAGAGAGGUGAGUGGAAUUCCGAGUGUAGAGGUGAAAUUCGUAGAUAUUCGGAAGAACACCAGUGGCGAAGGCGACAUACUGGUCCGUUACUGACGCUGAGGCUCGAAAGCGUGGGGAGCAAACAGG
rnacentral:rRNA from 1 species